CAGCAGUAGCCGCGGUAAAACGAAGGGGGCUAGCGUUGCUCGGAAUUACUGGGCGUAAAGGGAGCGUAGGCGGACAUUUAAGUCAGGGGUGAAAUCCCGGGGCUCAACCUCGGAAUUGCCUUUGAUACUGGGUGUCUUGAGUAUGAGAGAGGUAUGUGGAACUCCGAGUGUAGAGGUGAAAUUCGUAGAUAUUCGGAAGAACACCAGUGGCGAAGGCGACAUACUGGCUCAUUACUGACGCUGAGGCUCGAAAGCGUGGGGAGCAAACAGGAUUAGAUACCCGUGUAGUCCCUGUCUCUUAUAC
rnacentral:rRNA from 1 species